rnacentral:rRNA from 1 species
GAUGAACGCUGGCGGCGUGCCUAAUACAUGCAAGUCGAGCGAACGGACGAGAAGCUUGCUUCUCUGAUGUUAGCGGCGGACGGGUGAGUAACACGUGGAUAACCUACCUAUAAAACUGGGAUAACUUCGGGAAACCGGAGCUAAUACCGGAUGAUAUUUUGAACCGCAUGGUUCAAAAGUGAAAGACGGUCUUGCUGUCACUUAUAUAUGGAUCCGCGCUGCAUUAGCUAGUUGGUAAGGUAACGGCUUACCAAGGCAACGAUGCAUAGCCGACCUGAGAGGGUGAUCGGCCACACUGGAACUGAGACACGGUCCAGACUCCUACGGGAGGCAGCAGUAGGGAAUCUUCCGCAAUGGGCGAAAGCCUGACGGAGCAACGCCGCGUGAGUGAUGAAGGUCUUCGGAUCGUAAAACUCUGUUAUUAGGGAAGAACAUAUGUGUAAGUAACUGUGCACAUCUUGACGGUACCUAAUCAGAAAGCCACGGCUAACUACGUG